rnacentral:tRNA from 1 species
AGUCCCGUAGUGUAGUGGCCAAUCACGUGGGCUUCUGGGGCCUGCAACGCUGGUUCGAAUCCAGCCGGGACUA